rnacentral:misc_RNA from 1 species
UAGUCAACAACACAAGGAAGCUCUGGAAUUUACAAAAUCUGAUGAUGACAGUCAACGAAAAUUGGGAUUUCCAACUACAGAAGAACAGGAAAAGGCAACAAGAAACACUAUGAUUGCUGGAAUCUUCAUGACUUCUCAUUCAUUACCAUUCAGAUUGUAUACUGCCUUGUGUGCUUUUCUGUCCCUUAUCUGCCCAUCACAUUUGAGCAAUCCCUUGGGCAACCGACAUCAAACGCAUACAGGGAUCCGUAAUGUCCUUUCAGCAAAUUAUGAAGCCUGUGCUACUACCAUGAAGAGAUUCUUUAACAGCACUUUUGCAGCAACAAAGAGCAAGAGAAAAAUCACUAUUAGCUGUGAUAAGGGUACUGCUCCAAAGGAUGUAUCACGACAGGCCAUUGUUGCAACCUAUGUUGGCGAUGAUGGAAUGCCUGAGGAAAUGGUUUUAGGGGUUCCAAUGAUCAGGCAGGGAGAUGCUGUGGCUACUACUAAUCAUGUUAAAGAAAAUGUAUCUUUAUUCCUUGAUCCCUCAACAGUUGCAUUUGUGUGCACAGAUAGUGCAGCUGUAUACACAGGAAAGAAAAGUGGCAUGAUUGAGAUACUGAAAACUUCAAAUGAAUUUCAAAACUUGAAUGGCCUCCCUGAUUUCUGCCAUAAAAUGGAAAAUUUAUUGCAGAAGUCUAUGCCAAAAUGGGUAUCAGACACUUUGGCAACAUGCAGAACUGUUUCAGCUUUUGUAAAUGACCACAAUAUAGUCAAGAAUAUAAUACACAAAUACAUCAACAUUUAUCAUGGAUCAAGCUUCAGUACAAUUCCAAACCAAUGUGCUACUAGAUUUGCGCAAUAUUUGCAUCUACACUUGGAUGCAAUUUUGAAAAACUUGCCAAUCAUGAUUGAAGCCCUUCCUGAAUUGAUAAAUACUCAGACUUUCCUAAGUGAUAAAGCAAUAGGGAUAUUGAAAUCAAUCGUCCAGGAUUCCUUUGUUAUUAAAGUCAUGUUUAUUCGAAGACUCUACAAAGUCAUGUCUGAAAAAGAGAAAAUAGCUCAAAGCACUCACUUUGGACCAUUCCAAUACAAGCACCUUGUUGACAGCCUGGCAUCAGAAUUGCAGGAGUUGAAGACCCCUUUUAUUGAUGUGACAACUUUUCUGAAGGAUGGAAAUGUCAAGUCACACUCUGAAGUCGGCAGCCAUACUAACUAUGACUAUAUCAAUUUGCGGCAAACAGCAGUGAAGCUCAACUUGAAAACAAGAGGAGAGCUUGAAGCUUCAAGGGAAGACAUUGUAAGAAAUUUGAUGGAUGACAAUUCUAAAUGGAUUGACCAAAUUUGUAAUGAAGCUCCCAAUUACUUGAUGAUCCCUCAGCCCAUUGCUCUUGCAACGCAGUUGUUUUCACUGCACCACGAGAACAACUUGGAGGACAAAUCAACUUCUAUCAAGCAACUGUUCAAUACUGUUAACAUCCAAUUUGAGUUUUGUGGAAGCGAGUGCAAGGGAGUUGAUGAUUGUGAUUGUUUGACAAGUGAUUAUGAAAAAUUCAUGGCUACUUUUCAAUCGCAGUAUCAAGCUCUGCCCAACAACAGCGUUAUUAGGUCAGGCAGUUCCAAAUCACAAUCCUACACCCAUGCCUUUGCUCAUUAUAUUGCAGAAAACAAUCGCAAAAAUGUAUAUCCAACCAACAUCAUUCGUUGUCUUGAAAUCAUCCAGCUCAUGAAACCUACUCAAUCAGCCACUGAAAGAGUUAUGUCUCAUGUAGCGAACACAGUUAAAGAUAGAUUUGAAUCCAAGAACCAGUUCAAUACAAAAUCAACUAAAGAAGAUACUGUUAACUGCGAAGUCUUCCUCAGAUGCAACACAAAUAUUGUCUUGCAUGAUGCCGAUCUUGCAAGAUCCAUAUUCCUUAAAACACACAAUGAAUCUCUGAUCAAAAACAAGAGGUCUACUGAACCAAGUUCAUCUGUCUCAGUCUACUUGAGUGAGCUUAGCAGAGAUGUUGCGAGGAGCAACUUUUCUAAGCGGCAUCUAGAAGAGGAACCAAAGGAAGGUCAUGGAAAGAAGAGAAAAAUUGAUAACUGGUUAUUAAAAGCCCCUGAAGUAAGAGAAAUUUGUUCGAGCGUGAACACAUCUGCAGUCCAUCAGGAGCUACCUGUUCCCUAUCCCAACACCAGUGAUUAUUUGCUAGAACCUAAAUUGAAAGUUGUGCCAUUGCAGAGUACCUCUCUUCCAUCAAUUUCUUUGGAUCAAAUUUUCAAUCAGGAAAAUAAAGAGCCUGUGCAAGAUAAGCAAAACUUUAAUAUUGCAAAACAUGCCAUUAAAACUAAAAAGAAGAAAAUCUAUUGCUUGUGUCACAAUAGGAAUGAUGGAAGAAAUAAAGCUAAAACUUCCAAAGAUGAGAUGUGGAUAGGCUGCACUAAUUCAGAAAAAUGUCUUUCUUACAUUGAACGCUUAGCUGAGGAAGGUGUCGAAGGUGGUGACUGGUUCCAUCUUGAGUGCCUGAAAAUGAAGGAAAUUCCACCUGAAGAUUGGUUCUGUCAGAAGUGCAGUGACAAAAUGAAGUGCAGUGACAAAAUAAAGUGCACCAUGAGCCAAAAAUUGGAGAGAUUUAAAUGUGUAUCUACAAUUAAAGAGGACAAUACCAGCCAAGACAUUUCUCUGCAAAAUUUAACGCAACUCUUGAUGGAUGAAAAUAGGAAAAUAGAAAAAAUAACUGGAGAUGGGAACUGCCUUUACAGAUGCUUUGCUCACUCAUUGUUCGGAGACGAAAAACUAUUCCUGGAUGUGAAGAGGCUUCUAGCUGGCAAACUGACUUCUUUGAUCGAGGAUAAUCAAUGGAAAGAUAAAUGGACAAUUGACAGUUGGAAAACUCCACAGAGCCGAGACAUGCUAGUCAACAAUAGUGAUGCAAUAUUUACAGGUUUGAAUCAUGGCGUAUCUAACGCUGGGGUCCGAGGCACGGUCGUUUGAGCUGGUGGGAGAUUCGAUGCUGAAACGCCUAUACAGGUUCUACCAUGGAGACAACAGUAAACGUAAUAUUGGCUUCUGCAUCGGUGGGAUAACCAUGUCCCAACUAGCCAACCGACUAGCUGGGAGGACUGUGAAUCAGGAUGUCAUUCUGCAGAUUGGAACUAAUGAUCUUCUGGUUCUGAAGAGAGGAACGUGUCGGUUGUCAACACUGGGAAAAUAUUCUACUCUUUCACCAAAAAUCACUUCAAGAAGGAUCUGUUCAACGAUGACAUGCUCCAUUGGAAUGCACAAGGAAUGGACUUAGUGCUACAGAUGCUGGACGAGUCACUGUAGCAAAAGAGCUGUACUCUAGCCAAACAAAAUAGAGGAUAAGUAAACCUAAAGAUCUUUCAAUAACUUAAUAGAAAGUGGUUAUUGUCAGAUUAAGUUUUAGCAGUAUGUAUGUGAUUCUAAUGGAAAUAUUAUUUACGUGUUGAAGAGGUGAAGGUGAUGUUGAGGUGAGAAAAUAAAAAAUUUAUUUGAUAUUGCAUUUUA